GACGAACGCUGGCGGCGUGCCUAAUACAUGCAAGUAGAACGCACAGUUUAUACCGUAGCUUGCUACACCAUAGACUGUGAGUUGCGAACGGGUGAGUAACGCGUAGGUAACCUGCCUGGUAGCGGGGGAUAACUAUUGGAAACGAUAGCUAAUACCGCAUAAUAUUGAUUAUUGCAUGAUAAUUGAUUGAAAGAUGCUAUUGCAUCACUACCAGAUGGACCUGCGUUGUAUUAGCUAGUAGGUGAGGUAACGGCUCACCUAGGCGACGAUACAUAGCCGACCUGAGAGGGUGAUCGGCCACACUGGGACUGAGACACGGCCCAGACUCCUACGGGAGGCAGCAGUAGGGAAUCUUCGGCAAUAGACGAAAGUCUGACCGAGCAACGCCGCGGGAGUGAAGAAGGUUUUCGGAUCGUAAAGCUCUGUUGUAAGAGAAGAACGGGUGUGAGAGUGGAAAGUUCACACUGUGACGGUAUCUUACCAGAAAGGGACGGCUAACUACGUG
rnacentral:rRNA from 1 species